rnacentral:rRNA from 1 species
UCUUAGUGGCGGACGGGUGAGUAACGCGUGGGUAACCUGCCUUAUACAGGGGGAUAACACUUAGAAAUAGGUGCUAAUACCGCAUAAGCGCACGGGGCUGCAUGGCCCAGUGUGAAAAACUCCGGUGGUGUAAGAUGGACCCGCGUCUGAUUAGCUUGUUGGCGGGGUAGGGGCCCACCAAGGCGACGAUCAGUAGCCGGCCUGAGAGGGUGGACGGCCACAUUGGGACUGAGACACGGCCCAAACUCCUACGGAAGGCAGCAG